GCGACCUGUGCUGGCAGUUGAGACCUCAGGUAUGCAGCCGAGCGCGACCCCGCAUGUGUGACACCGCCUAUGUACGCAGGUGUGACCUCAGGUGUGUGCCUAUAUGCCCUGAACCCGUAGCCACCACUCCCCCGUUCACCUCCUCCCCAGCCCCUGGCAACCAUUAAUCUACCUUCUGUCUCUGUUCUGGACAUUUCAUAUAAAUGGGGUCCUACAAUAUGUGCUUUUGUGUGUGUGCUUUUCUCACUGAAAGUAAUGUUUUCCAAGUCCGUUCAUGUUGUGCUGUGUAUCAGUACUUACUUAAUUUUUGUAGUUGAAUAAUAUUCCAUCGUAUGGAAAAAUAGACCAGUUUGUUUACUCAAGCGUCGCUGCUGUGAACAUUCACACACAGGUUUGUGUGCGGACAUAUGUUCUCAAUUCGGGGGACUGAGGCAGUUGGUCUGUCCCAGGGGAGCCCAUGUGUCUGGCUGUGGCCACACCCACUUCCUGCUGCCUGUGCCCAGCCAGCAGUACUUCAUUUACCAGAAUCCCAGCCCUGGGCCCCAAGGUUCAAGCCAGAAGCUUGGAGCCCUGCUGCUGUGUGAGAAGUAGACUCUGGGGACAGGAAUCCAUCCCUGCCAGUGUCACCUACAACCUGGCUCCUCAGCCUGAGACCAAGACCACUGUCCUGUAUCUGCUGAGGCCAAGCAGCCCAGAGACGGAGCAGAGUGGCAGGUGAUGGAGCCCGAGGCACCAGCUUAGCAAUGACACCGGGAGGAAGGAAGGGCGCACUGGGCCCCAGGGAUCUGCUCACCACUCUCACCCCUGUGGGGAGGGGCAGAAGGCCUCAGUCAGCCGUUCCCUCCUGGGAGUCUCUGUCAGGACCUGAAUUCAAGACAGCUGGGACUACGAUUUUCAGCCCUCUUGAGUACUCGCCCACCUGGUAGCUCCGCUUCGUCCCCAACCGUCCCGGUAACAAGGGAUCCUGAAAUGUGCCUUCUGCCGCUGCCACCCGUGAGCCUGAGAGAGCUUGGAGCCGAGACUUCAGACUGUUACACAGCACAUCAUUCACUUUGUACGAAGUUCAGGAAUAGGCACAACUCAUGCGCUGUCAGAAAUCCCAGCAGUAACCACCUCCUGGCUGGGGAGGCAUUGCCUGGAGGGGAGCCAGGAGGGGCCUGUCCAUGGUGCUGAAACGCCCCAGGGCUGAACUUUCCAACUGGUAUCUUUGAGCCACGUUGUACGUAUUGAAAUCUGAAUUAAGUAAAUAAACUUAAAAAUCACAAA